GAUGAACGCUGGCGGCGCGCCUAACACAUGCAAGUCGAACGAGUAAGACGCCUUCGGGCGUGGAUAGAGUGGCGAACGGGUGAGUAACACGUGACCAACCUGCCCCCUCCUCCGGGACAACCUCGGGAAACCGAGGCUAAUACCGGAUACUCCGGGCCCCCCGCAUGGGGAGCCCGGGAAAGCCCUGGCGGGAGGGGAUGGGGUCGCGGCCCAUCAGGUAGACGGCGGGGUAACGGCCCACCGUGCCUGCAACGGGUAGCCGGGCUGAGAGGCCGAUCGGCCACAUUGGGACUGAGACACGGCCCAGACUCCUACGGGAGGCAGCAGUGGGGAAUUUUGCGCAAUGGGGGCAACCCUGACGCAGCGACGCCGCGUGCGGGACGAAGUCAUUCGUGACGUAAACCGCUUUCAGCGAGGAAGAACCAUGACGGUACUCGCAGAAGAAGCCCCGGCUAACUACGUGCCAGCAGCCGCGGUAAUACGUAGGGGGCGAGCGUUAUCCGGAAUCAUUGGGCGUAAAGCGCGCGCAGGCGGGCUUUCAAGCGGCGGCGUCGAAGCCGGGGGCUCAACCCCCGGAAGCGCCCCGAACUGGAAGCCUCGGAUGCGGCAGGGGGAGGCGGAAUUCCCGGUGUAGCGGUGAAAUGCGCAGAUAUCGGGAAGAACACCGACGGCGAAGGCAGCCUCCUGGGCCGGCAUCGACGCUGAGGCGCGAAAGCUGGGGGAGCGAACAGGAUUAGAUACCCUGGUAGUCGCAGCCGUAAACGC
rnacentral:rRNA from 1 species